UACGAGGGGGGCGAGCGUUGUUCGGAAUUAUUGGGCGUAAAGGGCUCGUAGGCGGUUUGUCGCGUCGGGAGUGAAAACCUCGGGCUUAACUCGGGGCUUGCUUUCGAUACGGGCAGACUAGAGGUAUGCAGGGGAGAACGGAAUUCCUGGUGUAGCGGUGAAAUGCGCAGAUAUCAGGAGGAACACCGGUGGCGAAGGCGGUUCUCUGGGCAUGAUCUGACGCUGAGGAGCGAAAGUGUGGGGAGCGAACAGG
rnacentral:rRNA from 1 species